AGAAUUGUCAAGUUUAAAAUGUUAGUUGUGCUGUUUGGAAGUUUUGAAACCCAUUGUCCUGAUUUAUCCAAUGAAAAUCCUCUUCGGAACAUACAGUACAUACAGGGAAGAACAGAGGAUGAGGUGACACAGGAGAGGAGGGAUGAGGAGUCAGGAACAGAG